rnacentral:rRNA from 1 species
UGGGGAAUAUUGCACAAUGGGCGCAAGCCUGAUGCAGCCAUGCCGCGUGUAUGAAGAAGGCCUUCGGGUUGUAAAGUACUUUCAGCGGGGAGGAAGGGAGUAAAGUUAAUACCUUUGCUCAUUGACGUUACCCGCAGAAGAAGCACCGGCUAACUCCGUGCCAGCAGCCGCGGUAAUACGGAGGGUGCUAGCGUUAAUCGGAAUUACUGGGCGUAAAGCGCACGCAGGCGGUUUGUUAAGUCAGAUGUGAAAUCCCCGGGCUCAACCUGGGAACUGCAUCUGAUACUGGCAAGCUUGAGUCUCGUAGAGGGGGGUAGAAUUCCAGGUGUAGCGGUGAAAUGCGUAGAGAUCUGGAGGAAUACCGGUGGCGAAGGCGGCCCCCUGGACGAAGACUGACGCUCAGGUGCGAAAGCGUGGGGAGCAAACAGG